CAUUUGUUCUCUAAAUAAGGACUUGUAUGAAUGGCCACACGAGGGUUUUACUGUCUCUUACUUCCAAUCAGUGAAAUUGACCUUCCCGUGAAGAGGCGGGAAUAGGCAAAUAAGACGAGAAGACCCUAUGGAGCUUUAACUAAUUAGUCCAAAGGAACAAACUUAAUCACCAAGGGACAACAACACCCUCUAUGGACUAACAGCUUUGGUUGGGGUGACCUCGGAGAACAAAAAAUCCUCCGAGCGAUUUUAAAGACUAGACCCACAAGUCGAACCAAACUAUCGCUCAUUGAUCCAAAAAAUUGAUCAACGGAACAAGUUACCCUAGGGAUAACAGCGCA
rnacentral:rRNA from 1 species